rnacentral:tRNA from 2 species
UCCUCGGUAGCUCAGUGGUAGAGCAAACGGCUGUUAACCGUUCGGUCGCUGGUUCGAGUCCGGCCCGAGGAGCCA